CACAGACCUUUGGCCCCAGCUCUGAGACUGAUUCAGAUAGAAGACGACCAGGGAAGGGACGCAGGGUAUCAGACCCACUGAAUUCGGAUGACUUGAAGCCCCUGCCCACUUUGAACUCCAGUGAUCCCAGGUCCCUUCAGAUCGCAGGCCACGCGGACCUGGAAGCCACCCACCCCAGUCAUCAGCGGACACUGUCCAGAUGAACACUUCUCCUGUGCCCCUGCCUGAGGCCAGCAAGGGCGAGCAGGUCCAACUGUGUCCAGCAGGGUGUCCUCCACCCAGUGUUCUUGGACCUCACAGGCCUCUUUCCCCAGCCCUGGGGAAAGACGGCUGGGUCCCCAGGCUGGGGAGACAACAGCCUAGCCUGCUUCUGCCCGUGAGCUGCGUGAGCUGCCACCAACCAGUGAAAAUGGAUGUGAGCGGCAGUGGUGACUGGUCAGUAGACUUCCUGCACUCUGCUGGUUGAUGUCGUAUCAGCAAAAAUGGACUGUUUCAGUCUUGCCUGGCGCGUCUGUGUCUCUCUGACAAUGAGAACCUGCCUGGAUCUCCAACCCAGACCUCCCGUCCCGGUCUCCUUCCCGCCAGUUACCUCCCCGCACCCGCCACCGCCCACCAAAGCUCUGUACUCCUAGUCAACGGGGCGCCCCCUGCUCCUCCCCGCCUCCUGGCAGCGGAACCCCAGUGCCGAGGAACGGCGCCAGGCCGGACGGGCUGAGCCAAGUGGUCCUCCCGGAAGUGCGCCUCCCCGCGGGGGCUCUCCAGCCCCACGGCACGGGGCCGCCGCGGACCCACCUGCCCC